CUUCACUUUCGAUGGUAGGAUAGUGGCCUACCAUGGUUUCAACGGGUAACGGGGAAUUAGGGUUCUAUUCCGGAGAGGGAGCCUGAGAAACGGCUACCACAUCCAAGGAAGGCAGCAGGCGCGCAAAUUACCCAAUCCCGACACGGGGAGGUAGUGACAAUAAAUACUGAUACAGGGCUCUUUUGAGUCUUGUAAUUGGAAUGAGUACAAUUUAAAUCCCUUAACGAGGAACAAUUGGAGGGCAAGUCUGGUGCCAGCAGCCGCGGUAAUUCCAGCUCCAAUAGCGUAUAUUAAAGUUGUUGCAGUUAAAAAGCUCGUAGUUGAACCUUGGGCCUGGCUGGCGGCCGCCUCACCGCGUGCACUGGUCCGGCCGGGCCUUUCCUCCUGGGGAGCCGCAUGCCCUUCACUGGGUGUGUCGGGGAACCAGGACUUUUACUUUGAAAAAAUUAAAAGUGUUCAAAGCAGGCCUAUGCUCGAAUACAUUAGCAUGGAAUAAUAGAAUAGGACGUGUGGUUCUAUUUUGUUGGUUCUAGACCGCGUAAUGAUUAAUAAGGAUAGUCGGGGCAUCAGUAUUCAAUUGUCAGAGUGAAAUUCUUGGAUUUAUUGAAGACUAACUACUGCGAAAGCAUUUGCCAAGGAUGUUUUCAUUAUCAGUGAACGAAAAUUAGGGGAUCGAAACGAUCAGAUACCGGCGAAUCUUAACCUUAACUAUGCGACUAGGAUCGGCGAUGUAUCUUUUUGCUCCUCGGACCUUACAAAAAUCAAAGUUUUGGGUCUGGGGGAGAUGGCCCAAGGUUAAAU
rnacentral:rRNA from 1 species